rnacentral:rRNA from 1 species
CAGGCGCGAAAGCUUGGGUAGCAAACAGGAUUAGAUACCCUGGUAGUCCACGCCAUAAACGAUGGGUAUUAGUUGUCGGGGGUAUCGACCCCUCCGGUGCCGCAGUUAACGCACUAAGUACCCCGCCUGGGGAUUAUGGUCGCAAGGCUGAAACUCAAAGGAUUUGACGGGGCCCCGCACAAGCGGUGGAGCAUGUGGUUUAAUUCGACGCAACGCGAAGAACCUUACCUGGGCUUGACAUGCUUGGGACAGCGCUGGAAACAGCGUCUCUCCUUCGGGAGCCAUUGCACAGGUGCUGCAUGGCUGUCGUCAGCUCGUGUCGUGAGAUGUUGGGUUAAGUCCCGCAACGAGCGCAACCCUCGUUACUACUUGCCAUCAGUUCGGCUGGGCACUCUACUGAGACUGCCGGUGAUAAACCGCACUAAGGUGCGCGAUGAUGUCAAGUCAUCAUGGCCCUUACGCCCAGGGCUACACACGUGCUACAAUCGUCGGCACAAAGGGUCGCUAAGCCGCGAGGUGGAGCUAUCCCAAAAAGCCGGCAUCAGUUCGGAUUGGAGUCUGCAACCCGACUCCAUGAAGNCGGAAUCGCUAGUAGUCGCGAUCAGCAUCGCCUCGGUGAUAGCUUCCCGGGGCUGUACACACCGCCCGUCAUAUCACCCGAGUCGGG